AAAACAUCACCUCUAGCAUAAAAAGUAUUAGAGGCACUGCCUGCCCAGUGACAAACGUUUAACGGCCGCGGUAUCCUGACCGUGCAAAGGUAGCAUAAUCACUUGUUCCUUAAUUGGGGACUGGAAUGAAUGGCCACACGAGGAUUCAACUGUCUCUUACUUCCAAUCGGUGAAAUUGACCUUCCCGUGAAGAGGCGGGAAUGAUAUAAUAAGACGAGAAGACCCUAUGGAGCUUUAAUUUACUGACUUACCCUUAACAACUAUCAACCCUAAUGGGUCAAACAACAAGCCCUAAGUCAGUAAUUUCGGUUGGGGUGACCUCGGAGCAUAAAACAACCUCCGAAAGAUCUUAUAACCAAGACUAACAAGUCGAAGUAAUAAUAAUCCAAUUGACCCAAUCAUACUUUGAUCAACGGACCAAGUUACCCUAGGGAUAACAGCGCAAUCCUAUUCAAGAGUCCAUAUCGACAAUUAGGGUUUACGACCUCGAUGUUGGAUCAGGACAUCCCAAUGGUGUAGCAGCUAUUAAUGGUUCGUUUGUUCAACGAUUAAAGUCCUACAUGAU
rnacentral:rRNA from 1 species